GUAGGUGAACCUGCGGAAGGAUCAUUAAUGAGAUAGGGUUCUUCUGAGCCCGACCUCCAACCCUUUGUCUACCAAACCUCUGUUGCCUCGGUGGGCCGCCGGGUACCCUUUAGUUAGGGCCCCGCCGUCGGCCUUUGCGCUUUCGAGUGCCCGCCGCAGGAACCAAACAAACCUUUUUUAAAUUAAGUUAAUCUGAGUGGUAUUUAAUGCUUCAAUUAAAACUUUUAACAACGGAUCUCUUGGUUCUG
rnacentral:misc_RNA from 1 species